UGAAUAGCUACAGUGCUCAACCGAAUUUUGGCGCACCCGCUUCCCCGGCAGGCUCCAAUCCAGCCCGGCCCGGAGGAUUUCCAGGGGCAAACAGCCCGGGUCCAGUUGCAGACCUCUACGGUACAGCCAGUCAAGACUCCGGUGUGGGUAACUACAUAAGUGCUGCCAGCCCCCAGCCUGGCUCUGGCUUUGGGCAUGGAAUUGCUGGGCCUUUGAUUGCAACGGCUUUUACAAAUGGAUACCACUGAAACGUUACACAGGGUUGCUUGCCAUCUCACUUGGAGAGUAUAUCUGGAUGUCCAGGCAAGACAGGGCGAAGUUUCUGAAUGGUUCCAUGUUUAGGUGACACGUCUUCAGACUUUGGCCAUUGCACCAUCAGUAACCCACACAAACUGGAGGUGACACUCAAUGGAUAUGGGUUGUCCAAAAUCGGUAUCAUCUCAUGAACCUGCUGUACUAUAUAGAACAACAGCUUUUUAAAA